CGUCAUAUACUGUACACCUCACAGCACCUCCUGACCUGAGAUCUGCUCAGGAUAGCCUCCAUGCGACGUCAUUCAUCCUCCUGAGUCUCUCAUCCCAUGCUCGAUCCAUUUUCAUCUGGAGCUCCACCCGCACUAGGCUCCUGCUGGCAUACUCCAUCUAGACAGCUCUUCCUUGCACAAGAGAGCAUCGAUCAACCCUCCACGGUCGAUCUCCACCUUAAUUGCACCUGUCUUC
rnacentral:lncRNA from 1 species